GUCAAGGUGCCAGAGUGGUUAAUGGGCUGCCCUGCUAUUAGAACUUCUAAUACCAGCUAAGGCAGUGGCUUCGGUCGCGCAGGUUCGAAUCCUGUCCUUGACG
rnacentral:tRNA from 1 species